rnacentral:rRNA from 1 species
AGUCGAACGGGACUCAGCCCUUCGGGACUGAGUUUAGUGGCGAACGGGUGAGUAACGCGUGAGGAACCUGCCUUUCAGUGGGGGACAACAGUUGGAAACGACUGCUAAUACCGCAUAAAGCUUUUUGAUGGCAUCAUUGAAAAGCCAAAGAUUUAUUGCUGAAAGAUGGUCUCGCGUCUGAUUAGCUAGUUGGUGGGGUAACGGCCCACCAAGGCGACGAUCAGUAGCCGGUCUGAGAGGAUGAACGGCCACAUUGGGACUGAGAUACGGCCCAGACUCCUACGGGAGGCAGCAGUGGGGAAUAUUGGGCAAUGGGGGAAACCCUGACCCAGCAACGCCGCGUGAAGGAAGAAGGCCUUCGGGUUGUAAACUUCUUUUACCAGGGACGAAAAAAGUGACGGUACCUGGAGAAAAAGCAACGGCUGACUACGUGCCAGCAGCCGCGGUAAUACGUAGGUUGCAAGCGUUGUCCGGAUUUACUGGGUGUAAAGGGCGUGUAGGCGGAGAUGCAAGUUGGGAGUGAAAUCCAUGGGCUCAACCCAUGAACUGCUCUCAAAACUGUAUCCCUUGAGUAUCGGAGAGGCAAGCGGAAUUCCUAGUGCAGCGGUGAAAUGCGUAGAUAUUAGGAGGAACACCAGUGGCGAAGGCGGCUUGCUGGACGACAACUGACGCUGAGGCGCGAAAGCGUGGGGAGCAAACAGGAUUAGAUACCCUGGUAGUCCACGCUGUAAACGAUGAAUACUAGGUGUGGGAGGACUGACCCCUUCCGUGCCGCAGUUAACACAAUAAGUAUUCCACCUGGGGAGUACGAC